rnacentral:rRNA from 1 species
GACGUAGGGCGCGAGCGUUGUCCGGAUUCAUUGGGCGUAAAGAGCGUGUAGGCGGCCAGGUAGGUCGGUUGUGAAAACUGGAGGCUCAACCUUCAGAGGUCGACCGAAACCAUCUGGCUAGAGUCCGGGGAGAGGAGAGUGGAAUUCCUGGUGUAGCGGUGAAAUGCGCAGAUAUCAGGAGGAACACCAAUGGCGAAGGCAGCACUCUGGGACGUGACUGACGCUGAGACGCGAAAGCGUGGGGAGCAAACAGG